CAGCAGCCGCGGUAAUACGAAGGGGGCUAGCGUUGUUCGGAUUUACUGGGCGUAAAGGGCGCGUAGGCGGACUGAUAAGUCAGGGGUGAAAUCCCAAGGCUCAACCUUGGAACUGCCUUUGAUACUGUUUGUCUUGAGUUCGAGAGAGGUAAGUGGAACUGCGAGUGUAGAGGUGAAAUUCGUAGAUAUUCGCAAGAGCACCAGUGGCGAAGGCGGCUUACUGGCUCGAAACUGACGCUGAGGCGCGAAAGCGUGGGGAGCAAACAGGAUUAGAUACCCCUGUAGUCCCUGUCUCUUAUAU
rnacentral:rRNA from 1 species